rnacentral:lncRNA from 1 species
GCCCCUCGCGAGCCUCGGCGUCGGCGACCACUCCCCACCAUCGUCCUCGCCGUCGCCGCACCUUGGCCCCGGGUCGCCGCGGUGCGUGUCGAGGCAGCGGUAGCGGCGGGGGCCGCCCUCCUCCACCUGCUCGCAGUGCUGGCAGGUGCUGGCGCACCGCUCCACCGUGUCCGCGCAGCGGCACACCGGAGGCCAGGACCUGGUGCAGAUGGGCACGUCGCAGCAUUUCCACGGCCUCUUCUUCUUGUCGUCGUCGCCGCCGCCUGCUUUCUUGUCAUCUGCCAUCACUGCCGUCGGCGUCGCUUGCCCACCAGCGUCGUCGUCAGCGGGUCCUGAGAAGGAAAAAAAGCAUUUUUCUUAGCAGUCUCACAUGCAAGCAUAGGAGUACGCAGUCAUGUACCAGGCAGGUAUGCAUAUAGUACUCGUACAGUAUUAAUUAACAUGCAUGCAUGCACACGAACGCACGUAAUAUAUAUGUAGCUCUUACCGCCGCUCCUCCCGUCCUCGUCGUGGCACCUGGGCCCGGGGUCGCCACGGUACCUGUCGACGCAGACGUGGCGCGAGUCCUCCGUUUCCACGCACUCCUUACAGGCGUCGGAGCAGCGCUCAACCCGAUCGAAGCACGAGCAAGUUAGCGGGUACGUCUUGACGCAUACGGCCAAGUCGCAGCAUUCCCCCCACGGCCUCUCCUCGUCGCGAAGCUGAUGCUUUGCCCUUGCCCUCGCCCUCGCCAUCGCCGUGACAAGGUCUGCAGCAACGCCUGCCCGCAAUAUAUAAACUAACUAAUAUAAUGCCGGCACUAUAUAUAUAAUAAUGUAGCCAGAAUCACUGACAUAAGUAUACCUAGCUAUGCACGCUCACCUCCGACAUCGCUGGACAGACGGAUGGUCCCGCCGGCGCCGGCGCCGGCGGCGAGAAGCAGGGUCUCCAGCGAAACCAUCAUCAGUAGGAUGGAAGCGGCGCCCAUCGCCAUGUCUGAGUGAGGAGCUGUGGACUGUGGCGCGCGUCGUCGUCAGGUCAGUGCAUGCGUGCAGUGCAGUGCCCUGCCUUGGCCCUUGGAGUCUUGGCCUCUGGGGGCAGAUAAUAAAUAGCUCGCUCGCGGACCAGCGAGGGAUGGGCAUGGACAUGCAACCGACGACACGCGGCGUCUUUGCUACUACUUGGAGAGCAGCGAAUCUGAACACGUGGCACCAGAGACACAUACCCUCGACAUGUAACUCUCGAUUUGGGACGGUAAUGCGUACGGAUUUCAGAAUGGAUAAAUAAUUAUGAACAAUUAUUUAUUGGACACGGGUAUAUAGUAGAAUUUGUUAUCUAUGGUACGGGUAUAGAUAUAAUAAAAUAUUUGUGGAUAAUUUUUUUAGGUAUCUAUACCUAUUACCUAAUGACUAUUUGAUAUAUGGGUCAUCGGCCAUCCUAAUUGAAUACAUUAUCCUAAAUUCUUAUUUUUCAAUUUUUCAUCCAUGUCAUGUUUGUCUUGUGCUGAAAUUAUUGUUUAAUGCUACUAGAAUGAUAAAAUAGGACAAUAUUAAAUUCUCACACACAGUUCCUCCAAUAGAGGAAAUGAAAUGAUGUGCUUAUUGUAAAUGGCAUUGCUUCUUUUCUCGUGCUACCAAUAAUUGUAACGUCUUUCAUCGGUAAAUAUAACCGGCUAUAAAUAAAGGACUGUUGAGCUUUCAGGAAAAGCAGAUUGAUAUGUGUCGGGAAAAUGAUCCUCGGGCCCUCGAGGCCCACCAGUGAGAAAGAGCGCAUGGGAUAAGGACCUCUAGAUUACCGGCCAGCGAGGGAGUAAGGGAACUGUCUUCCCUGUAAGGGCUCACCCUCGGAUAAACACCAAGGCACCGUGCCCGGGGUCGAGCGAGGAUGAGCUAGAAAGGAGGGUGGUGAACCGAAGGGAAGCUAACUGAGUGGAUUCCUCGUCUAGCCCAAGACUAACCCGCCAUAAGUGGCCCGCCGUACUAACUACGCCUAACACCGAGUCGCAGUAGAGGGCUGAUCCGCCUCCCACUCAUGACUUGUGAAGCCCGUCGACAUGUAGCGCAAUCAUGACCUACGUGCCCCCCUCAGGUUGCGACACACUCAUGACCUAUCAAGACUAGACCUAAGUGCACAGGCCGUCUACAGGGCCUGCAACGCGACGAGCCACGCCGAGACCUAGGCUACGGAGGCUAGGGCUUGGCUUGGCGCGGAUGUAGUAAUGAUGGCGCUGGGGCCCUGCACCGCCCACGUCAUCUGUCAUAAUGAGCACGAGGAGAAAAUACCAAGCAACCAAAACACAUACGAACAAUGUGGCCUCACCAGGGUAAAACACCUGGUUUUACCAUGGUAUAGUGGCUCCUUCUCAAGGAAGCCACCAAUGGCUGACCCCCACCUUGUACUAUAAAAGGAGGAAGUCGAUCACGAGGACGAGGGAUUAUACUCUCAAAACCGGAGACACUCGGUGGAAGGCAAUGGCACACGAGACCUAAAGACCUAGAGGUUGGAGCCAAGGAUUAGUGUAGGAAUCCAUACCUAUAGUCUUUUAGGUCCACCCCCGCAUAAUACUUGGGAGCUCUCCUUCCCUCUCUCGCCCGCUUAUAACCCCCUACUGCGAGCAUCGAGUAACAAAGGUGCCGAUAACGCGAGUCGUCGAAGAUUGGAUGUAGAGACGUUCUGCCUGAACUAGUAUAAACCUUGUGCCCACCGAACACACCAUCCGGAGCCCAGGACACACACAUAGAAAUUUACUUGUCAGUGCAGAGGUUCGAAUGUAAUACCCAAAACUUUGGGAAUAAUAUAUAUAUAUAUAUAUAUAUAUAUAUAUAUAUAUAUAUAUGUAUAUGUAUGUCAUGUUUUGCCCUCCACUAUGUUGCUGAGGUUUCGAUACAUCACCCUCACCUCUGGCCCGUCGGGCUUGGGGAUGGACUGGAGCAUCAUGGCUGCCGCUGCCAUGUUCUGUCCAAUGUUGAGGAAGUAUUGCGCCCCGUCACUGCUUUCGGCAAGCUGGCCAUAAAACCUUUUCGCUUGGGAUCGUUCGGCCUCGAGGCGUUUUUUCUCAAUGUCACCGUAAAUUCGACCGAGCUUACGGACGAGAGCGUCGAGGCCUUCUUGCUGCCGCCGAAGUGCGUUCUCGCGAGUGAGAACGCACUCCUGGAGGGAGCUCAGACUUGUAAUGGGUUGGAAUUUACAAUGGGAACUUGUAUUCUGUUGGAGGGAGCUCGGUCGGUGGCCCUUGGGUAUCAAGGUUUCCUCUGAUGCUGUCUGUAGGGUCGUGUGUAGCCGUACUCCCAUAAUGGCGUACUAUCUCGUUCGCUCGUUGUAUAGGUCCCUUUCGCUGGUCUUCUGUUGACAUCCUCAUGGUAGUGCGCGGGAGUUCCACAGGUCAGUCGUAUGGAGCAGCCGUGUGUCGUGCGGUCUUGCCUGUCGUCAUGAGCCUGCGUCCCUCGUUGGCGUGCGUAGGCGUACACUCAGUAUGGUGUAUCUGCUGCGCACUACUCGGUAUUCGGGUCACUGUAGAAGCUCCGAUGCUAAGGUAUUUUAUGAAUAGGGUCGUCCGGCCCCUCGAGGCUGUGGGAGCGUGUCUGGGGCUGUACUUGGGGAGGUGCGGUCAUGUCGAUAGUGGCCACUCGGUGUGCACUCAUACUGUCGUUUGGGUGACUGGCCAUAGCCUAGGGUGUCAUGUCUUAUCUUUAGCCGGCGCAGACUUCGUGACGUUUGACUUAGGUUUCUGCCUUGCUUCCCUUUCUUGGUUGGGACCAAGGUGGUCAUUCUGCCUCAUGGACUUGCUUGGCAGGGACCUGCUCGGCCGCCCCGCCUCGCUGACUUGCCCAGUAGGGAUCUGGUUGGUUGCUCCGCCUCGUGGACUAGCUUGACAGGGACCUAGCCAGCUGCUUUGCCUUGUAGACUUGGUCGGCAGGGACCUGGCUGUGUGGUUAUUCUGCCUCAUGGACUUACUUGGCAGGGACCUGCUCGGCCGCUUCACCUCGUGGACUUGCCCGGUAGGGACCUGGUCGGUUGCUCUGCCUCGUGGACUGGCUCGACAGGGACCUAAUCCACUAUCGGAAUUCAGAUCUUUGUUGAGUGUUUUUUUCGGGCACUUGGCAAAGAAACUCUUUGUCGAGUGCUAAGCAAAAAAAACCCUCGGUAAAAGAAAACACUCGGUUGAGUGUUUUAUUUUUGACACUCGGCAAAGAGUUUCUUUGCCGAGUGUUUUUUAACACUCGGCAAAGGGUUUAUUUACUGAGUGUCAAAUAUAUAACACUCGCAAAGUGCAUCUUUGUCGAGUGUUUUUUUUCAACACUAGGCAAAGACAAUUUAAAAAUCACAUUUUAAAGCAGUAAAUUAAUUAAAAUGAAAAAGUUUUCAACUAAAAAUUUGUAUAACUCAUCAUUAUGUACAAUUUAUAUUUUGAACAUUUCUUCGUAUGACAAAAUAAAGUAAAUUUGUUCAUAAAACCUAUAUUUCUCGUAGUAGUUUAUGAAACUACGAGAGAGAUGUAUAAGAUUUGUGCAUAUUGUUAGAACCAUCAUAUGAGAUUAACAAAUGACCAAACAACCAAAAUAAACUUUGUAGAUCUUGAGAAGUUAUAGAAUUUUGUAGUUGGCAACUUUUUCAUUUGAAGUCAUCUUGUCAACUAAAACAAUGUCUGAAUUUAAAAAAUUUAAAAUUUGAAUUUUGAAAACGACCUCGAAAGACAAAAUCAGCAACAAGAAAGUUGUAGGUACUGAAGAGUUAUGAAACUUUAUAGUUGACAAUAUUUUGGCUUGAAAUCAUCUUAUCAUGUAAAACUAUGUUUGAAUUUUAAAUUUGAAUUUUUCAAACUAUCUCGGAUGAAAAAACCAUCAAAAUAAAAGUUAUAGGUCUUAAAAUGUAAUGAAACUUUGUAAUUGAUAAUUUUUUGAUUUGAAAUCAUCUUAUCAUUGAAAAAUUCGUGUGAAGUUUUCAAAUUUAAAAUUCAAAUUUUGUAAACAGCCUCGGAUAUAGAAACUAUUAAAAUAGAACUUGUAGAUCUUAAAAAGUUAUGCAACUUUAUAGCUGGUCACAUUUUCAAAUGAAUUCAUUUAGUGCCUCAAACAAUCAAAUUACUCUCAGUUUGUUAUAAUACAUGAGAAAUGAAAACGUAAUAUAGUCAUAAUUGAUGUAGUAGUGUAGUGGUAGAGGAGGAUAUGCACGAGAGAAGUUGUGGGUUCGAAUGUCACCAUUCACAAAAUAUGUAAAUUUGAUUCAAAAUAGUAGUGAAAAAUAAUAGGGCAUUGGGUAUGGUAUUGUGUAAUGGUUGGAGAGUUGUUCCCGUAAUUUAAAAAAUGUUUUGCUAUUUUUUGGGGUUUUUUUGCGAUUCUUAAUUUGUCGAGUGUCCAAAAAAGUAUUCGGCAAAAAACCCUUUGCCGAUAAAAUGUUUGUCAAAUAUUCUUUGUCGAUUGUAACACUCGGCAAAGGCUUUGUCGAGUAUAAAAUAGCCUUUGCCAAAUGUCCUGGACACUCAGCAAAGAACGCGAGUUCGGUAGUGUAUCUUAGCUGCUUUGCCUCGCAGACUUGCUCGGCAAGUCAGGGACCUGGUAGGUGGCUCCAUCUCGUGUAUUUGCUCGGUAGGGACCUAGUCGGUUGCUCCGUCUUGCGGACUGGCUCGGGCUUGUUUGCCUCGUGGACUUGCUGGGCAGGGACCUGGUCGGUGACUCCGCCUCGUGGAUUGGCUUGAUACAGACCUGAUAGGCGGCUUUGCCUCACGGACUUGCUCAGUAGGGACUUGGUUGGUGGCUACGCCUCGUGGACUGCCUCGGUAGGGACCUGGUCGACUGUUUUGCCUCGUAGACUUGUUCAUUAGGAACUUGGUCGGUGGCUCCGUCUCGCAGACUUGCUCGGUAGGGAACUAGUAGAUGGCUCCGCCUCACGGACUUGCUCGGUAGGAACCUGAAUGCUCGACUUGAAUACUGUCUCGUUAAUAUAUUGGCAUAUUUUUAACUUGUGAGUGCAAUUUUAUUUAAUUAUAAAAUUAAUCAUCUUGUUUAAUUAUGUAUUUCGGUUGUAGAAAAACUAAAUAGAAAAUAAAAUAGGUGGUAGUUGCGGUGGUUGAGAGGAAAUAUAAUUAUAUAUUGGGAUGGUGAGUUAUAAGAGAAAAUAUAGGGGUAACGACAGCAGAACGUAAGAGGAUAGAUGUAUGAAUCGUCACUGUAGCAGCAUAUAAGGUCGACUUCAGCAGAUUAUCCAAAAUUUAUCUAUGUGCACUGUUUAUAUCAUUAUAUACUGUAGACUGUACUAUUCGCUAAAUAAAGUUUAAAUAUAGGUACGAGAAUGGAUAAGGCCAUGUUUAGUUUCAAUUAGUCCUAGGACUAAACUUUAGUCCCAGGACUGAUCUAUGUGUACUGUUUGGUUCUAGUGACUAAAUAGAUUCUAAAGUUAUUAAAUACGCUGUCCAAAAACUCAAAUGCUUUGGAAUAUACUCACAACAUUAGUUGUCUAUAUAAAUAUGCUCUCACAACCAAAUAUUAUGGAAGGUAAGUGCUACAUGAUAAUUAUAGACUUUUUAGUCUUUUUAAGCACCUAUAUGAAGGACUAAAGACUAAAUCAUUUUAGUCUAUAUUUAAUCCUAGUGUUUAGUAAAAAAGGGACUAAAUGGGACUAAAAACUAGAGAUUAAUCUUUAGUCCCUCUAACCAAACACCCCAUAAGCUGGUAGAGAUAAGGAUGAAUAUAGAAAGAACGGCUGCGGUCAGCCUGAAUAGAGACGACAGUAUAUUUAGGAAUGGAGAAAGUAGUAUUUAAGACGUUAAAAAGAAUUUCUACUAACACUGACUCUAGCAACAUUCUUUAUAUAUCUUCAUUUAUAGUCUCUUUUAAAAGUUCUCUUCUUUAUAUCUCGUUUUUCCCAAUAAGAAGACUGUAUCGUCCAAAAGUAAAGACAUAUUUUAUUUUAUUUUGUAUACCUAAGUAAUCUAUAGUAAAUUAAACAUAGGUCUGAAGUCGUCCAGCACCGAUCACAAUCCUUCUCACAUACGCUACGAUACUGUUGUGUAUGAGUGAGAUAUGGAUUCAGAGGUAUUCUUAAUAUGCGUUUCGAGUUCUUAUUGUUCUUAUGUUAUGGUAUGAAUAUACCAUACCAAUUCGUUAUGUAUGGAUGAUGGAUGAGACUCCAUGGAUAGAGAGCCAAUUCCAAUAGACCGUUCCCGUUCGCGUGCAUCCAACAGGAAUUGAACCCGCAAAUUUACCAAUUAUGAGUUGGGCGAACAUCUUCUUAAUUGUAAUAUCAUGGGGUAGUGUUAACCCCAUAGAUCGAGUUUUUAGGUCUGUUUAGUUUAUGGCUAACUAUGCUAUAUUUUAGCUAUGGUUAAUUAUUUAGAUUAAAUAACUAAUUUUAGACAGAAAAGUUAAAUAAAAUAUGGUAAGUUAGUCAGCGAAGCGAAUCUAACAGAGCCUUUAUCUUAGGGGAGAAAUAUCGUAAUAACACGUCAGUACGUGCGCCUGACGUUUAUUUUAUUCCAUCUCGAGUGGAAAGGGUCACCUAAUCAAACAUGCAAAACAACAACAGCAGCUUGCUUAUUAGCGCCUGCUUGUAGCAAAGCUAGGCGGACGGACGGAGGAGAACAUGCAUAUGGAAGAAGGAUCCAUCGGCUGCUGUGGCCAUGGUGGAAUUGGAUGAGUUUAGUGGAUCUUGCACCCGCAGUUUUCGGGGAGGAAGUCGCGGCACCUGUACUUGGUGGCGCCCUUGCCCGUGGACACGGGGACGCAGUUCUUGCAGGUGGCGGCGCACUUGGUGAGGAGGUCGUCGCAGGUCCACACGCCCGACCAGCUGGUGCACUCGCCGCACCAGCACUGCUUCUUCGGCCCUGCGCGGCAGCAGCAUGAUGCGUACUCGCUUUAUUUCGUCCAAUCAAGCUAGUAGCCAACUAGAUGAAAUCUCGGCAAGCACGACGUACCUGCAGGUCCUUUGGCCACAGCCGCAGAGAGCAGAAGGGCCUGGAGAACUAGGAUCACCAACAGAGUGCUGCUCCUGCUCUUCAUCCUCUACGUACGUACCGCUUGUUGCCGCCGACGACUCUAGUUUUAGUUUUAGGGUGUAAACAAGAAGGCAAGCUUCGAGUUUGUCACUGCUAGUGCUGCUGAGAUGCACAUGUGCUGCUUCACUAGACGAACUCGGUACUCUCUAUAUAGGCCGGGGCGGGGGUGUCCUCUCCUGGUCGGUCGAUCGAUCGGGGACAUGCCAUGUGCGCAUAGACUCAUUGCAGUGCGGGCCCAUCUAUCUUUUUUUUAAAAUUUCUUUUUGCAAACACACGUGUUACGCGAGUCUUACUGCUAGUAGAUGCGCGGCGAGUCGUGGAGCUGAAUGCAUAUCCAUCAUUUCGUCCCUGUAGCACGCGCACUAUAUUUGGUCGUCCUAGGUCUAGCUGGUCAAAGAUGGCCUGCUGUUACGCUGACACCGGCACCAUCAGGGCAUCAUGCAGAGGCCUCAAUAAUAAUGCAUCCUAGCUUUUGGUGCAGCACGGGAUCACCGUCCCUCUUGUCGGUCGAUCUGACCGUCCGCGCGUCUCCAACUUAGAUUACAAGUGUAACGAGACAUACAUAGAGUGGUAAGAAGUAGAUCAAAUUCAUUAUACUUUAUUAAUAUCAUGCAUGCUUAUAUAAAGAUAUAAAGGGUGCUUGUUAAUUCCUUUAAGAAAAAACUGUGGAAAAAACUUAAGAAUUUAUAUAGAUUAAAUAAUACUGUCGGGGACCAUAAUUAGGGGUACCACUAGUACACAGAAGCUCUAUAGUGGCGGUUCUAAACCUAUUUACACUGGCGUUUUUCAGUACCGCCAGUGCUAGGGGUCAGUGGAAAUCAGCAUUUCCACUGGCGGUUAUUUUGGAACCGCCAGUGAAAAGUGCAUUUUUACUGGCGGUUUUCUUAAGGAACCGCCAGUGAAAAGUGCAUUUUCACUGGCGGCUGAAUAAAGAAAACCGCCAGUGAAAAUGCAUUUCCACUGGCGGUUUUAUAAAGCAAACCGCCAGUGGAAAUGCACUUUUCACUGGCGGUUUUCUUUAUAAAACCGCCAGUGGAAGUUUUCCCGCCUUUUUUCAAAAUUUCAAACAAUACUGAAUUAUAUAUAUAUUUAUUUACACACACACAAACAUAUAUAUAUAUAUAUAUAGAUCUAUAUUGAUAUUGAAAGCAACAUGAAAUUAAAUUCUAUCAUACAUUUAUAUACAUCAAAGUAUUCUGUUUACAACCAUAUAUGCUUCAUGCAUUCUAUACAUCAUAAGUUUUCACCUAAGCUCUAAUAACUAUCUCGGCUAAGAGAUAAUCUACUAAUUUCUGUUAGUAUUCUAAACUCUGGCAAAGCUAAUGUUCCGGAAGCAUCGUGAUAUUUUCCUUCUGCGGGAAUGACCUCUUUCAAUAUGAAUGUGCAGAGGUCCUCGACUAUGCCAUACAAUGCAGCUUCGGUCAAGUUCUCCGGGUUUCCUCGUUGAAAUUGCUGUAAAGGAAUUUUAUAAACAUCAUCUAUUUAUACUCAAUAAUAACACAUUUGCAUCUUUAAUGACAUAAAUACAUACUUGACUAUUACUAAUAAUACCUUGUCAGGGUUCGUGAUGUAUCGUCCGUUCACUCUCAUGAACUCGCACGCAUAGAAUCCACAUAGGACCGAUCAUUGUGGUUGCUUGUGGCACUACAUAACGGGAGAUUGGUUAUUUAGUUGCAACAUUGUGUAUGAUAUGUAUUCAUAAAAUCACAUACUUACCGGCCAGUGAUGAUGGAUGUCUAGUGGCACGAGUUUUUUCGACAGGUCGUACUUUCCACCUCUCAUCUUAUAGAAUCUAUAAGCCCUGUGAUCUCAAAUAGAAUCACCAUGUUAUUCUCAAAUUUUAAUCGAUAAAAGUAUGCAUGCAUAGAAAAGGCUUACAGCUCUAAGAUGCUGAGGAAUGUUGCAUAUGUCGAAGGGUCGAAGUUCAAGGAGUCGAGCACCAGCACCUUUCCAACCUUAGGAUAAAUGAGGAAGCAUAUCCAGUGGUCCCUGUACGAAUCAAAUUUGUGAUGCAUGUGUAUUAAAAUUAUUAAUUUUAUUUAUGCAAAAUCACACUUACUUAAAGUUGUACGGGGCCAUUAUGGCUUCCCUGUCUUGAAAUUGAAGCAUUGCAUGUCCUAUGUAGGUGGCGUAUCGAGCUUCAAAAUCCUUCUUCAUAUCCUUUAUACGCUUCUUAACUUCUUCGUCCGUCUUUCCCCGUAUUUCAUCGUUGUCUUUCCCGAUUCUAAAAGUGUGGCUUUCCUCGGAUAUAAGUAUUGGGUUGAGAUACCCAACCCUUUUACUGGCACUAGCAUUGGGCUUGGUACCGUAAAGAAUCUCCUGCUGAUCAUGUUGCAUUCUGCAAGUCACACGUGCAUGUCAGAUAUUGAAAUUUUAUACAGCUCACUAAUAAUAACACACAUAUGUGGAAGUAUGAGCGACACUUACAAUGCAAACAUCGUUACAAGUUGCACGUCGAGUCUCUGAAGGUUCAUCAUUAACCACAUGUCCUCGAAUGUAACAACGGCCUUUUGGUCCGAACCAAUAAAAGCAUGGUCUGGUAUAUGCACACUGAUGGUGUCGAUGCCAACCGAUGAUGCCCGCAUGUACCAGUCAUGCAACCUUUUAACACCAGCCGGGACCUUUCUUAGUUUCUCAAGAGGUAGCAGAGGUCUGCCCGGCACAUAUUUUUUAGGCACGUUUUUGUAAUCUGCCUUAGUUGGCUUCUUUAUCUUUGCGGCCAUUGCCUUAGCCUUUUUUGCAGACUCCUCGUGCUUGGCCAAAUCAACAGUUUGUGACGUGAGGCUCCGUCCAAUCCCUUUCAAAAACCGAGCUGUGCCAGCAGUAGUAGCUUUACUCUUCUUUUUCUGAUACAGGGACACCAAUUUUGGUAUAGGAAGUUUAGAUUUCUUUGAUGGCCUUGGAUCCUUUGAUGGUUGUGGAGAAGGUGGAUCCCUUGAUGGUGGCAUAGACAGUGGGUCACCAAGAGGAUGGGGAGGAGAAGGUGGUGGAGCCCUGAAUGGUGAUGCUUGUGGCGGAGACGGUGGGUCAGAAAAAGGAUGAGGAGCAGCAUGUGAAGUUUGAGGAGGUGAUGAUGGAUGUACAAUAGGAACAACAAUUUGAGAAGGCGGAGACGGUUGGGCCUGCGACGCCUGCGACGAAUUCGACCAAUCAAGCAAUUCGACAUCCCUUCGAGGCCAAAGGAUAAAAUUCUUGAUAGCUUGUCCAAGUUUCUCGAUACCUUCGGGCCCAGGGAUGUCUAGCAUGUCGUCCUCGGAUCCUUGGAUGACCGUCGUCACUUCUACUUUGCAAUAAUCAUCUGGAAUAUCGUUUCCAUGGAACUUGCGUCCUGGGAUCGCAAGGCCUGUGGCUACUUUCUUUGUACGUUUAUUGUUAAUACCAUAUCUUAUAACCAGUGUGCACGCCAUAGGCCUAAUGAUGUCAUCAACUGGAUAACGGUCCUUAUUUCCCGUUGAAGCAACAGAGCUUGGUAAUGUCGUACAAUCUGUGGAAGCCGGCGGUUGAGCUGCUGGAAUUAUUUGUAUCUGUGGAGUGGUCAUCUGUUGAACAGACAUCGCACUCGCCAACUGUUGCAUCAAUUCUGGAGGAGGAUUCGAUAGCAUUUGAGACAUCAUGGUUUUGAACUCUUUCUUGGCCUCCUCCUUAAAAUAAUCCGCCAUCUCUUCCUUGUAUCGAUCACGUUUCUUGUACAGACCUUCCCACUGUGGUCCGAAUCCUUCCUUCCAUCCUUCCUUAGACGAGAUUCCUCGUACACGACCAGGAUGCUCAGGGUUACCGAGACCAGCCGUUAGGAUGUCUCUUUCCCUUUGUGGCUUAAAAGUUCCUUGGCUCUGCUUAGCUGCCAUUGUAUAUAUGUUUUUUGCCGCUUCUUCGACAAUGGGAUCAUCAAAAGAUACACCGGUCUCGGUUUCCCUUGGUUUUCUAGCACGGAGCCAAUUUGCCGCCCUUUCACCAAGUUGCUCGGACAGCGUCGGCAACCCUGCGACCUUCUUCUCGGCGUCUUCUUGUGUCCAUUUAGGAACCUGAUGCUUGUAACCACCUAUGCCUAGGUGGUGGCGGUACUUGUUCUUCUUUGAUAGUUCCGAAUUUGCCUCACUUAGAGAUAUGAAAUCAGGGCUGCUCCUCUGCUCUAGAAAUACUGCCCACUGACCUGCUGAGAUUUUAUAUUUUUUGGUCGGGUCCAGACCUUUCUUUGCAAACUUUGUGUUCAUCUCAGACCUCCAGUUUCGGAAAUUGAUUGCAAGCUGCUUCAUCGUGUAUUCCUUCACGAGUUCUUCUGAACCCCGAGGCAGAACGAACCUCAUUAAUAGCUUAUUCCAUAUUUGAUUCUUGACAUCAUCUGACACAUCUCUCCACUAUCGUAUUGUUAUGUCAAGAUUAUCUCUAACUAAAAACCCAAGUGCAUUCCGGAACUUAGGUAGUGCCUCUUCUGGAGCUAGGGGCUGACCUUUCGGGCUCACGUCUGAGAUUUUGUAUGUUUUGUCGGGAAACUUGUUCAGCCCCCUGUCACCUCUUUUUCGAUCGCUCUGCUUCCUUUUCUUGACGUCUCGGUUGUUGUCUUGGUCUGUUCCGGUGCGUCUUGGGUCGGCUCCGGUACGUCUUCGUAUCGUGCCACGGCUUCUUCGAGUAUCGCACGAAAUUCAGACACGACCUCCUAUUCAUGUAAUAAAAUGCACAAGAGAUCAUGCAUGUGAAAUCAGUAGGGUACACAUACGAAGCUAAAGAUGCGUACUUUUACCUCAGCUUCUCGUGGAUCAUAAGUAGGGUCACGUUGCAACUCACGGAGAGCGGCCGUAUCUAUGCUAGUGGUAGGAAAAGGGUCGCUAGGCGUUUCAUAUCCUUCACUGCUGGAUUGUUCUUGAGCAACACUCUUGUCCAUGUGCUCGGGCACUAAUCCUUGGUCCUUGAUCGGAGAACUCAUUGAGCUAUAUAUAUACAAAUACAUAAGCAAUAAUUAAAUACAUAUUAACACAUAUUAACAUAAGCAAUAAUUAAAUUCAUAUUAACAAAUAGUAUAAUUAAAUACAUCCUCGGGCACUAAACCCUUAACCCUAACCCUAACCCAAAACCCGAACCCUAACCCUAACCCUAACCCUAAACCCUAACCCAAAACCCAAACCCUAACCCUAACCCUAACCCUAAACCCUAACCCUAACCCUAAACCCUAACCCUAACCCUAACUAUAACCCUUAACCCUAACCCUAACCCUAAACCCUUAACCCUAAUCCUAACCCAAAACCCGAACCCUUAACCCAAAACCCGAACCCUUUAACCCUAACCCUAACCCUAACCCAAAACCCGAACCCUUAACCCAAAACCCGAACCCUUAACCCUAACCCUAACCCUAACCCUAAACCCUAACCCUAACUAUAACCCUUAACCCUAACCCUAACCCUUAACCAUAACCCUAACCCUAACCCUAACCCUAAACCCUAACCAUAUAGUAUCGUAUAGUCGUAUAGUAUCGUGUAGGACGGGGAGAGAGUCGCAUAGGACAUAUAAAGAGGGAGAGAGGGAGAAUCGUAUGGAUAUUAUCGAGUUACGUAUAGAGAGGGAGAGAGGGAGAGUCGUAUAGGACGAGGAGAGGGAGAGAGGGAGAGUCGCAUAGGACGUAUAGAGAGGGAGAGAGGGAGAGUCGUACGGAAAUUAUCGAGUUCAGAUCGAAUUCGGAUCGGAUCGGAUACGUAUAUUAUCGAGUUGUGACGGAUAAAAUUACAAUGUAUAUAUUCAACAUACAUUUGAACACAUAUGAACACACAUAUAUAUUGAACACAUAUAUAUAUAUUGAACACAUACAUUUGAACACAUAUGAACACACAUAUAUAUUGAACACAUACAUUUGAACACAUAUGAACACAUAUAUAUAUUGAACACAUACAUUUGAACACAUAUGAACACACAUAUGAAUAAAAAUAAGUAUUGUAUGAAUACUCUCAUCUCCUCUCCUCUCUCUCCCUCUCCCUCCUCUCUCUAUCUCUCUCCCUCUCCCUCUCUCUAUCUCUAUCUCUCUCCUCUCCCUCUCCUCUCUCUCUCUUACCCUCCUCUCCCUCCCCUCUAUCUCUCUCCUCUCCCUCUAUCUCUCUCCCUCUCUCUAUCUCUCUCCUCUCCCUCCUCUCUCUCUCUCACCCUCCUCUCCCUCCCUCUAUCUCUCUCCCUCUCCCUCUCCUUCCUCUCUCUUCCUCCCUCUCGGCGGCGGCGGCGCGUGCGCCCUCCUCUCUCCUCCCUCUCCCUCUCCCUCCUCUCUCUUCCCUCUCCAACUCCUUCCUCUCUCUUCCUCCCUCUCGGCGGCGGCGCGUGCCCUAGGGUUUACUAAAACGCGGCGGCGGCGGCUGCGCCGGCGCGGUAGACGACGACGGCGGUACGGCAGAUUAGGGGAAAGAGAAAGAAACCUGGAGACGGCGGUGCGGGGGCGGGAAUGGCGGCGUGGGGACGGGCGCGGGGACGAUCGCCGGCGAAACCCUCGGGGUCGAAAUCCAGCAGCCUGACGGCGUCGUCUUGAAGUGAACUGGCGCCAGGGACUUGUAAAUUUUUCGGCUCCCGCGCGCCACCCUUUAUAUAGGCGCAUUUCUACUGGCGGUUGACAACGAGAACCGCCAGUAGAAAUGGCUUCCACAGACUGUAGAAGCCAUUUCUACUGGCGGUUGACAACGAGAACCGCCAGUAGAAACUAUUUCUACUGCCGGUUGUCAUAGAGAACCGCCAGUAGAAAUGGCUUCUACAGUCUGUGGAAGCCAUUUCUACUGGCGGUUCUCUAUGACAACCACAAGUAGAAAUAGUAUUUUAUUAUUAUUAACAUAGUUUUUUUAUAUAUUGUUUUACUUCACUUUUUAUAUAUUAUAUUAAGUAUACUUUUAUAUAUUGUUUAGUAUACUUUUACCUCUCUCCAUCCCCUCUCUCUCCUCUCUCUCCAUCCUCUCUCUCCCUCUACCUCUCCUCUCUUUCCUCUCCACUCUCUCUCCCCUCUCCCUCUCCAUCCUCUCUCUCCUCUCCACUCUCUCUCCCCUCUCCCUCUCCAUCCUCUCUCUCCCCUCUCCCUCUCCAUCCUAUCUCUCCAUCCCCUCUCUCCCCUCUCCCUCUCCAUCCUCUCUCUCUCUCCUCUCUCUCCAUCCUCUCCUCUCUUUCCAUCCUCUCUCUCCUCUCCACUCUCUCUUCCCUCUCGCUCUCCAUCCUCUAUCUCCUCUCCACUCUCUCUCCCCUCUCCCUCUCCAUCCUCUCUCUCCAUCCCCUCUCUCUCUCCUCUCUCUCCAUCCUCUCUCUCUCCUCUCUCUCCAUCCUCUCUCUCCUCUCCCUCUCCUCUCUCUCCUCUCUCUCUCCCUCUCCUCUCUCUCUAUAAAGUCAAUAGAAAGUCAUGUAAAAUUGUAAAUGGUAGCCACGAAAAUUGAAUGAAGACAAUUACAUGCUUCGGUUUGUCGCUAACAAUAAUCAAUUACAUGACAAGUCCUAACAAUAAUCAAUUACAUGACAAGUAUAUAAUCUAGGAAGCUAUUGUUCUGCCUUGUCCAUCGUGGCGUACCCAGGGCAACGAAUUGAGUGGGAUGCUUCGCUCAACGUUCCUUAUCUUGGUUGGAUGGUCUAUGAAAAGAGACAUGUCGUUGAACUGGUUAAAAUUCUCUAAAUCAGAUACACCAUCAACUCCUAUAGCUUGUUGUUUUCCAGGAAAAACUACAUGCUUCGGUUUGUCGGUGCUUUUCUUCUCAUUGUUAGAAAUGAUCUGUUCAGCAUAGAAGACCUGUGCAGCACGAUUAGCAAGGACCCAUGGGUCAUCUUUGUAACCUACCUUACUUAGAUCAAGAACUCUGACCCCAUAGUUGUCUACCGUGACAUGUUUGUCUUCAACCCAUUGACAUCGGAAAACCGAGAUCUGAAAUGUACCAUAGUCUAGUUCCCAUAUGUCCUCAAUAAAGCCAAAAUAUGUAAUAAUCUCACCAGUUUCAUCAUCUAUGGCCUCGCAUCGAACACCACUGUUUUGUGACAUGCUCUUUUUGUCCUUGGACUUGGUACAAAAUGUGAAUCCACUAAUGUCAUAGGUUUGCCAUGUUGUGACCUGGCGUGAUGGUCCAGAUGCCAAGCCCUUGAUGGUUUGUUCUUCUAUUGUUUCUCCACGUGGAAUGUCCUUCACCAUUAGCCAUGUGUUGAACCGCUGCUUAUGUUGCUUCAUUACCCAAUCAUCCGUAUGCCCAGGAUUUUGCUCGCGAAGCUCAUUGAUGUGUUGUUGGAUAAAUGGCUCCAUUAUCGUUAGCUGAUGUAGGAUGCUCUGAUGUGCCUCAAGUACUAUAUCGUAAUCCGGUGGGAUGAAAGAUUUCUGUCCCAUCCUCCCGCUUCCAUACAGUCUACCCUCGUGUCGUGACGGAGGCAGACCUAUUGCAACCUGGUCUUUUAGGAUACUAUUGCAGAAUGGACCUCCAGACUCAAUGGCCUCUUCGGUACAGUACCCCUCUAUCAUGGAUGCCUCGGGACGAGCACGGGUUGAUACAUAGCCAUUCAGUAUUGACAUGAAACGCUCAUACGUCCACAUUUCAUGCAAGUACAUAGGACCCAAUGCCUCUAUUUGUGGCACCAAGUGCACCACAAGGUGCACCAUAAUAUCAAAGAACGAUGGAGGGAAACACAUCUCAAACUGUGAUAUUGUCUCCACUGCGAAUUCCUGAAGAGAUGCCAACUCAUCACGGCCAAUUACCUUUUGUGAAAUCCUGUUGAAAAAGUAGCACAACCGUGUGAUUGCCAUCUUUAAAAACAAAGGAUUUAUAGCCCUGAUGGCAAUAGGUAGGAAUGUAGUCAGCAUGACAUGGCAAUCAUGUGAGUUGUAGUUGGUGAUUGUCAGGUCUUUCAUUGACACAAUACUCCGUAUGCUAGAGCAGAAUCCGGAUGGGACUUUCAAAUUCUUGAGCCAAACACACAUCGCAUGUUUCUCAUCUACAUUGAGAUUGUAGCUUGCUGCUGGGAGAUGGUACUUCCCAUUUUCUUGAAGAACGGGAUGUAGUUCCUUUUUUAUGCCUAAAUCUACCAAGUCCAUGCGUGAAUUGAGCCCUUCUUUUGUUUUGCCCUUUAUGUCUAGCAAGGUGCCCAUUAUGCUUUCAAACACGUUCUUUUGAACGUGCAUACCAUCGAUCGCAUGCCGCACAUCUAACUCUUUCCAGUAAGGCAAGUACUCGAAGAAAAUAGACUUCUUCUUGAAUAUAGCCCCCGAAGCUGGUUUGACAUCCUUCCUUGUUUUUCCGUCUUUUGUCUUCUUCCCGAAAACAAACUUGAUAUUCCUGACUAUUUCAAAAACUCUAUGACCUCUAUUGUUACCCGAUGGAGCAGUAGAAUGUAGUUCACCAUUAUUGUCGAAGUACUUAUCCAUCUUUCGCAUGCGGUACCUGUGUCCUUCCAAUAAAAAGCGUCUGUGCCUCAUGUAAACUAUCUUCCUAGAUGCAGCAAGGGAUACGUAAGCAGUUCCAUCAAUGCAUACUGUGCAACCAACCUUUCCCUUAAACUGGCCUGAUAAUGUGAAGAGAGCAGGGUAAUCGUUGAUCGUAACAAAAAGAAUUGCUCUCAGCGUGAAUGAACCUUUACGAUACUCAUCCAACAUUUGAACACCUGUUUCCCACAAUAUUUUCAUAUCCUCCAUUAAGGGCUCCAAAAAUACAUCCAUGUCAACUCCAGGUUGUGUAGGUCCAGAAAUAAGGAUGGUUAGCAAAAUGUACUUCCGUUUCUGCAUCAACCAUGGAGGAAGGUUGUAUAUGGUGAGGAUCACCGGCAAAGUGCUAUGCUUGCUGCUCCUCUCAGCAAAUGGGUUCAUUCCAUCAGUACUCAGUGCGAACCUAACAUUUCUCGGUUCAUCGGCAAAGUCUCAGUGGUUGUCAUUGAAAUCUUGCCACUGCUUCCCAUCGGCUGGAUGUCGAAGCUUCCCAUCGUUUUUGUGCUCAUCAGAAGCAUGCCAGCUCAUAAGUCUGGCAUCCUCAGGAUUAGCGAACAAACACCUCAAUCGAUCGACGACGGGGAGGUACCACAUCACCAAAGCAGGAAUCUUUUUGAGCGCAUAAUAGUCUACUUCUUUUUCUUUGCUCGUGGAUUUUGAAGUCUUUUUUUGGGCUUUCUUUCGCUUCUUCCCUUUAGACACGGAUGCAACACACUCUUCGUCCUCUCGAUAGUCUUUAUUCGUCUUGUACCUACUUGCACCGCACUUUGGGCAGCUCUCCAAGUCUUUAUAAUCAUCACCUCGAUAAAGGAUACAGUGAUUUCUACACGCGUGGAUCUUCUCCACACCCAUAGUGAGCGGACUGAUUAGUUUCUUUGCAUAGUACGUGUUAGCAGGCACAUUGUUCUCCUUUGGAAGCAUGUCUGCGAUAAUACUCAAGAACGCAUCGAAGCCAGCAUCAGACACACCAUAUUUAGCUUUUAACAUCAACAGCUUUAGCACAGACCGGAGCGUCGUGAACUCUUUGGUACAACCCUUAGACUCGUCAUACAAAGGCUCUUCUGCUGCCUUCUUCAGGGACUCCAUACCUUUCAUUAAGAACAUCGAUUGAUCUGUAAUGCGAUGCAACAUUGCCUCUAGCAACUCUGCAUCUUCCUCAUCCAUAACACUUGGUAGAACAUGAGGUAUAUCAUGUUCAUUUCCUCCAGCGUAACCAUGAUCAGUAACAUUUUGCACUACAUGUUCGCUCUGUGGAAGAGGUUGGUGUGUCUCGUGAACGAACUGAAAUCUGUCGUCGAUGUUCUCAGGGUUUCCAGUCGUAUAAGGCGAAGAGCUACCCUCUCCAUGCUUUGUCCAAAUUGUGUAAUCCUUCAUAAAUCCUCGGCAUACCAGAUGAGAUAUGAUUUGUUCUGUGUCAUUAAAUACAACAACAUUUUUGCAGUCCAUGCAUGGACAAUAUAUGUGUUUUGUCUUUGUUCUCCAAGCAUGGUUCGUAGCGACAUCAAUAAACCUAUGGACCUCGGAUAUGUAUGAUGGAUCUAGCCUUGAUAAGUUAUACAUCCAGGAUGUCCUCUCCAUCACCACCUGUAAAAAAGUAACAUAAACACACAAGAACCAACCUUUCUUAGCAACAUUCUUCCAAAAAAUAAAGAUAAACCCCCCCUUGUAUUUUGUGAAAUCUGGCCCUCUAAUGGAAGUUGGGCUGCGAGCUAUAGUUCUUGUCGGGAAGGAUGAAGGGGUGAAACCCUAUAUCCAAAAUGUGGCUAAAUUUAAGGAAAAUGAACAAAAAUUGGCAAGAAGAACAUAAAACCAAACUUUCCUAGCCAUACUCUUCUCUCUAACACAUGGUGAAGGCCUAGUUCCAAAAUUGAGCAAAGAUGAACAAUAAUUGGCAAUUAAAACAUAAUUAAACCAACUUUCAUAGCAACUAAUAAAAACAAUCUUAAUUACCAAAAACCUAUCUUCUUCUCUCUCCACACAACACAUGAACCAUUCAUUAAACAACUUAAUAUGUCAUGGAUAAACUGAUUUGAGAACUAAACAUGAAAAAGGAGAGAGGAUAGACAAAAUCUAACCAUAUUAAACAACUUUAUUUGAGUGAAUAGAGCAAAAAUGUGGCUAAAAUGUGGCUAAAAUUGAGAGAGGAUACACUCUCUCUCAAAUGGUGAAACCCUAGAUCCAAAAUGUGGCUAAAAUUGAGCAAAAAUGAAUAAAAAUUGACAUUAGCAACAUAAACCAACCUUUCUUAGCAAUCUUCUUCCAAAAAAUGAAGAUCAAAACCUCUCCCCAUGUAUUUUGUGAAUUCUAGACCUCCAAAAUCGCCUCCAAUGGAAGUUGGCUGCGAGCAUACAGUUCACUGUCAGGGGAAGAAGAGGGGUAUUUAUAACAGACACUUCACUGGCGGUUGUCUUUAAAAACCGCUAGUGAAAAUUGAUUUCCACUGGCGGUUGUCUUUAAAAACCGCCAGUGAAAAUAGGAUGUUUCCACUGGCGGUUAAGUUAAGAUAACCGCUAGUGGAAAUAAAUUUUCACUGGCGGUUUGUGUUACACAACCGCCAGUGGAAACAUCCUAUUUCCACUGGCGGUUGUGUUAAGAUAACCGCCAGUGGAAAUAGGUUUCCACUGGCGGUUUUUAAAGCCGGGCCCACCUGUUUCUUUCACUGACGUUUGAUAACGGAAACCGCCAGUGAAAAGUUGAACGUGCCGCAGGCUUUGAGCUUAUUUGUACUAGUGUACCCCCAAGACUCCUAAACUCGGCUGGUAACCACCAUCAGCACAAGCUGCAAAGGCCAGAUGGGCGCAAUACAGGUCAAAGCUCCGUCCACUCAAGGGAUACAAUCUCGCCUCGCCCGAGCCCAGCCUUGGGCAGGAAUAGUAGACCCAGGUGGAUUCACGCCUCGCCCGAGGGCCUCCUCAAGCAACAGGCGCACCUUCGACUCGUCCGAGGCCCAGCUCGGGCAGGCUUCGCAGUGAAGCAACCUUGGCCAGAUCGCCUCGCCAACCGACCGUAUCGCAGGAGCAUUCAAUGCAAGGAUCGCCUGACACCUUAUCCUGACGCGCGUUCCUCAGUCGACAGGGCUGAAGUGACCGCAGUCACCUCGCCCCUCCACUGACUGACCUGACAGGAAAACAACGCUGCCUGCCCUGCUCUGACUGCUGUGCCACCCGCCAGGGUGAGGCUGACAGCCGCCGAGUCCAGCCUCAGGCGCCAUAGGAAGCUCCGCCUCGCCCGACCCUGGGGCUCGGCCCCCGCCUCGACCUCGGAAGACGGUCUUCGCCUCGCUCGACCCCAGGGCUCGGACUCAGCCUCGACCUCGGAAGACGGUCUCCGCCUCGCCCGACCCCAGGGCUCGGACUCAGCCUCGACCUCGGAAGACGGUCUCCGCCUCGCCCGACCCCAGGGCUCGGACUCAACCUCGACCUCGGAGGAUUCUUCGCCUCGCCCGACCUUGGGCUCGGACCGACCACGUCGCAGGGGGGGUACAUCAUUACCCUACCCCUAGCUAGCUCAGGCUACGGGGAACAAGACCGGCGUCCCAUCUGGCUCGUCCCGGUAAAACAAGUAAUGAUGGCACCCCGCAUGCUCCCAUGACGACGGCGGUUCUCAGCCCCCUACGGAAGCAAGGAGACGUCAGCAAGGUCCCGACAGCCCCGACAGCUGUGCUUCUACAGGGCUCAAGCGCUCCUUCGACGGCCACGACGCAACAUGCACAGGGUACUAACACCUCUCCGACAGCCACGUCGGCAUGUACAUAGGACUCUGGCUCCUCUCUGCCAGACACGUUAGCAUACUGCUACACCCCCUAUUGUACACCUGGGCCCUCUCCUUACGUCUAUAAAAGGAAGGUCCAGGGCCCU